CCAGUGGAGGGAGGAUCCUGGUCCAACCAGCAGCUGCCUCAGAUAGCUGACUGAUUGCUUCACCUCCCCACUGGAAUCCUAGCACACAAGCAGGGAGAUGCCUCCAGGGUUAUGAAGUCACAGGAGAAUCUGGGCCCAGCAGGACAGCAGGUAUCUGAGAUCCGGGGUUCCUGAUAAAGAAAGAAAGCAACUCUCAAUCCUC